UUCUCUCCGACUGCGAGGUGGCAAACAAGAAGAAGGAGCAACUUCACCCUGGCCACCCAGAGAGAUGAGUCCAACUAUCAGGUGCUGUCUAGAGAAGGUCUGUCUGGACGCUACUGGGAGGCUGAGUGGAGUGGUGUACGGUGUACAUUUUAGGACAUCGGCUGUCAAACUCAGGUGUCAGACAUCAGAUGAAAAGGCAUCAGGUCUCAGGAAAACCACUGUCAAGUUUAAGAAAUUACACAGUCAUUUCUCAGACAUCAGAUGAAAAGGAGUCAAGUCUCAGGAAAACCGCUGUCAGAAAAAGCGGAGUCAGACGAAAAGAUCUCAGAUGAAAAGUUAUCAGAAGCCGAAAAAAUAUCCCGCGUCAUCACGACUUGAUACGUCAUCAAAAUGCGACCGCCAAACGCAGUCUACUGUGUGAGAGCGCGAAAAGAAGACGGUGAUACAGAACAAAAAUGGAUAAAGUGCAACAAUAUGAGCGAUUAAAAACUAACUGGAAAAUGGCGAGCUGACUCAAAAAGGGUUCGACUCAAAAGUAAAAA